rnacentral:rRNA from 1 species
UACGUAGGGUGCAAGCGUUAAUCGGAAUUACUGGGCGUAAAGCGUGCGCAGGCGGUUUUGUAAGUCUGUCGUGAAAUCCCCGGGCUCAACCUGGGAAUUGCGAUGGAGACUGCAAGGCUAGAAUCUGGCAGAGGGGGGGUAGAAUUCCACGUGUAGCAGUGAAAUGCGUAGAGAUGUGGAGGAACACCGGAUGGCGAAGGCAGCCCCCUGGGUCAA